UACGUAGGGUGCAAGCGUUAAUCGGAAUUACUGGGCGUAAAGCGUGCGUAGGUGGUGAGGUAAGUCGGAUGUGAAAUCUCCGAGCUCAACUCGGAAAUGGCAUUGGAAACUACCUUGCUCGAGGGUUGGAGGGGGGACUGGAAUACUUGGUGUAGCAGUGAAAUGCGUAGAUAUCAAGUGGAACACCAGUGGCGAAGGCGAGUCCCUGGACAACUCCUGACACUGAGGCACGAAAGCUAGGGGAGCAAACAGG
rnacentral:rRNA from 1 species